GUGCUUAGUUCGGCAGCACAUAUACUAAAAUUAGAACAAUACAGAGAAGAUAAGCAUGGCCCCUGUGCAAGGAUGACAUGCAAAUUCAAGAAGCUUUACAUAUUUUU